GAUUAUGGCCAUACCACACUGACAACGCCCGAUCUCGUCUGAUCUCGGAAGCUAAGCAGAGUUGGGCUGGGUCAGUACUUGGAUGGGUGACCGCCUGGGAAUACCCGGUGCUGUAAGCA
rnacentral:rRNA from 1 species